CUGGAACUCUGACCUCAGGUGAUCCGCCCACCUCGGCCUCCCAAAGUGCUGGGAUUACAGGCGUGAGCCACUGUGCCCGGUCCCUUUGUUCUUUCUUCUAAGCAUGGUUUUGUACUUGCGGGCUAGACUAAUUUUGAAAAUCACAUUAGAAUUUGUACAUUCACUACAGAGGCCCAGGAAGGCUAGAUACCUGUUUUGAUGGUGUUACUGCUGACUACAAUGCUCUGGGGGUCUGGCUGAAGAGAGGCCACAGCUGCCCAGCAGCACCUUCUCCUCAGGCCCUGCUGCAGCACUACACACAUAGUACUGCUGGGCUUGGUCCUCUGUGUGACCUACCAGACUUGCCUCUGAAGGACUCUGGGCCAAGACUCCUAGCCACUCUUAUUGGGUCAGGAGUGCUCAACUUGAAGUUAACCAGGAAGCUGUGGUGGAGGCUUGGGAGUGGUUCCAGAAGAGAAGUUUGAGAAGGCACAGAGCCACAUGGCAGCCCAUUUAGAGGGGUAGAAUCCAGCUUCCCUCCCAGGGCAGGACUCUCAGUUUCUGCCCAAGUACUCCAAUUGUUCUGGUGAGUGGCAGCAGUUGGGGCAGCAACCCUGGUCCACGGGUACGGCCUCCCCAAGUCGUUUUUCUUUUUUCUUUUUUUGAGACAGAGUCUCACUCUGUCGCCCAGGCUGGAGUGCAG
rnacentral:lncRNA from 1 species